rnacentral:rRNA from 1 species
GAUGAACGCUGGCGGCGUGCCUAAUACAUGCAAGUCGAGCGAACAGACGAGGAGCUUGCUCCUCUGACGUUAGCGGCGGACGGGUGAGUAACACGUGGAUAACCUACCUAUAAGACUGGGAUAACUUCGGGAAACCGGAGCUAAUACCGGAUAGUAUAUUGAACCGCAUGGUUCAAUAGUGAAAGACGGUUUUGCUGUCACUUAUAGAUGGAUCCGCGCCGCAUUAGCUAGUUGGUAAGGUAACGGCUUACCAAGACAACGAUGCGUAGCCGACCUGAGAGGGUGAUCGGCCACACUGGAACUGAGACACGGUCCAGACUCCUACGGGAGGCAGCAGUAGGGAAUCUUCCGCAAUGGGCGAAAGCCUGACGGAGCAACGCCGCGUGAGUGAUGAAAGUCUUCGGAUCGUAAAACUCUGUUAUUAGGGAAGAACAAAUGUGUAAGUAACUAUGCACGUCUUGACGGUACCUAAUCAGAAAGCCACGGCUAACUACGUG